rnacentral:rRNA from 1 species
GAACGGUAACAGGUCUUCGGAUGCUGACGAGUGGCGAACGGGUGAGUAAUACAUCGGAACGUGCCCGAGAGUGGGGGAUAACGAAGCGAAAGCUUUGCUAAUACCGCAUACGAUCUCAGGAUGAAAGCAGGGGACCGCAAGGCCUUGCGCUCACGGAGCGGCCGAUGGCAGAUUAGGUAGUUGGUGGGAUAAAAGCUUACCAAGCCGACGAUCUGUAGCUGGUCUGAGAGGACGACCAGCCACACUGGGACUGAGACACGGCCCAGACUCCUACGGGAGGCAGCAGUGGGGAAUUUUGGACAAUGGGCGCAAGCCUGAUCCAGCCAUGCCGCGUGCAGGAUGAAGGCCUUCGGGUUGUAAACUGCUUUUGUACGGAACGAAAAGACUCUGGUUAAUACCUGGGGUCCAUGACGGUACCGUAAGAAUAAGCACCGGCUAACUACGUGCCAGCAGCCGCGGUAAUACGUAGGGUGCGAGCGUUAAUCGGAAUUACUGGGCGUAAAGCGUGCGCAGGCGGUUAUGUAAGACAGAUGUGAAAUCCCCGGGCUCAACCUGGGAACUGCAUUUGUGACUGCGUAGCUAGAGUACGGCAGAGGGGGAUGGGAUUCCGCGUGUAGCAGUGAAAUGCGUAGAUAUGCGGAGGAACACCGAUGGCGAAGGC